GGGGCUGAAGCCGUCUCUGGCGGAGAGUGUGCGUCAUGACGUCAUGGCGCAGAAUACUUAUAUACAGGCGCCUGGGCGCCAUCUCGGUCUUUCGUGGCUGCGAGCCGGGUGUUCUCCGUUUUUGUAUGCUGCUAAGAAACGCGGCAGGCAUGACUCCAGUGUGGAUUUUGAUGGCUUCUGGUGGGCAGUUGUGUACCAGAAGGAUGACAACUACUGCUGUGGUCUUAAAGCUCAAGCUUGAUGCUCUAUCUAUGAGCAGACAGCCAUUAAGCAGACUUGACUGGAAGUUGAAGAGGUAAGUAAAAUUUCCAGUGAACUAAACAUUGGUGACUGGGCAAACACGACAGAAUGCCACUAAUGAUUUUUGGGUUGCCUUCCAAUGCACAGGAAGCAGUCCUACCUUGAAAUGUUUGAAAAGUGUACUGAAAGCAUUAAAUAAAAGCCAGGUCCUUGUCCUUUCUUAAAAACAGCCUGUGUGAUGAUAAGCAAAUGCUGACUGAAUAUGAAGGUCUUAAUUAGCUCUAUCUGAUUUCAGGCAUUUUAAAAAUUUGUGGGGCGAAAAUUUGUCUUUGGCUAUAGAAAACCACUCUUUUAUUUCUUAGGUGAACUUGAAUCCUUGACCUGUCAAAAGCAGUUGGCCUUUUUGAUGAUGGCUACAUGUUUUUUUCUAUGGAUGACUUCUUUGGGGUGUGAAGAGAGGUAGAGACUACGUCCAUGCAAGGAACCAAGAGUUCUAACCAAAGGCAGCCUGAUGGAUGCACAUGGGAUAGAAGAGCAAACAGCUAUUAAUUGACUGCUGCUCUGCACAGCUUUUGGGAUCCUAGCUUCCUGACAAGGGAUCAAACCUGUGACUGCUGCAGUGGAAGCUCAGCGCUAACCAUUGGACCCCAGGAAAUUCUCCAGCUUUCUAUUUUAAUAAAUGU
ensembl:lncRNA